rnacentral:rRNA from 1 species
AGAGUUUGAUCAUGGCUCAGAUUGAACGCUGGCGGCAGGCUUAACACAUGCAAGUCGAACGGUAGCACAUAGGAGUUUGCUCCUUGGGUGACGAGUGGCGGACGGGUGAGUAAUGCUUGGGAAUCUGGCUUAUGGAGGGGGAUAACUACUGGAAACGGUAGCUAAUACCGCGUAAUGUCUUAGGACUAAAGGGUGGGACCAUUUGGCCACCUGCCAUAAGAUGAGCCCAAGUGGGAUUAGGUAGUUGGUGAGGUAAAGGCUCACCAAGCCCGCGAUCUCUAGCUGGUCUGAGAGGAUGACCAGCCACACUGGAACUGAGACACGGUCCAGACUCCUACGGGAGGCAGCAGUGGGGAAUAUUGCACAAUGGGGGGAACCCUGAUGCAGCCAUGCCGCGUGAAUGAAGAAGGCCUUCGGGUUGUAAAGUUCUUUCGGUGACGAGGAAGGCGAUUGUUUUAAUAGAACAGUCGAUUGACGUUAAUCACAGAAGAAGCACCGGCUAACUCCGUGCCAGCAGCCGCGGUAAUACGGGGGGUGCGAGCGUUAAUCGGAAUAACUGGGCGUAAAGGGCACGCAGGCGGUUGUUUAAGUGAGGUGUGAAAGCCCCGGGCUUAACCUGGGAAUUGCAUUUCAGACUGGACAACUAGAGUACUUUAGGGAGGGGUAGAAUUCCACGUGUAGCGGUGAAAUGCGUAGAGAUGUGGAGGAAUACCGAAGGCGAAGGCAGCCCCUUGGGAAUGUACUGACGCUCAUGUGCGAAAGCGUGGGGAGCAAACAGGAUUAGAUACCCUGGUAGUCCACGCCGUAAACGCUGUCGAUUUGGGG